GAAUCAUACAACAUUAUAAUAAAAAAUGUGAAUCACAACUACAAAUUUAGUCGUAAAUCACAUAUUUUUAUAAGUUACAAUUUAUUUAUCGAUUGUAAAUUACACAUUUCAUUAAUCAUAUUUACCCAAAUAAUCGAUCACAAAAGCUUUAUCUCCAAGACUACUCAACAUCACCACCAUCGCUGUUGCCACCCCACCGCCAUUUGCACCAACAAUCACCACCACCUCAAAUCCAUUAUCACCUCCACCUCAGACCAACCACACCUGUACCAGCACCGCACAACAGAAAUGCAACACCGCCGCCGCCACCAUUGCACCACUAGUGUCACAGCGCCACCCACAUAGAUCUUACACUAUACCAUCACCAACACACAAACAACAUCGCACCACCUGCCCACAGUCCCAUCUCCACCACUAAUCACAACAUCCGCCGCUUCCUUUCUGGCUUCCUUCUCUUUCCCCUUUCGUUGAAAUAUUUUGCAGGUCGAUAAUGACAAAUCCAAGAUCGAUCCGGCAUCGAUUGUGAGAGGAAAAUUGGCGGCUAAUUUUCCUUGACAGUUUUUGGAGUUGGUAGGUGGCGAUCAAACAGAUGCAGAGAGAAAACAAAAAGGGGGAGCGAGAUAGAUGGCGGGGUGUGGGCGCCUGGGUGUGGGUGUGAAGUUGUGGGGUGGGGUGGGCGAGUG
rnacentral:lncRNA from 1 species